AGCCACCGGGCUCUGGGCUGCGGAGGAGGUUGGAGGUGACCUUCCAGAAGGAACGUGGGACAAGGGAGCAAGUGAGGACCUGGUGGGUAGUGGUUACUCUGUGAGAAGCCAGCAGCACCAACCAAAUAGAAGGUGGAGAAGUGGCCCCCAGCUUCCCAGUUUGGGUUUGGGCCAAGACAACUAAGAAAAGGGUCCACCGUCUUCACUCCAGGUCAGAUGACCCUGCAUUGUAUCAAGUAGAAAAAUGUCUAACCAAGACAGAGGAGAAUACGAACCCUCUCAGCUCAUAGAUGCAAGAAGAGAGAGGGGUUUGCUGGAAAUCGUGGCUGACCACCUCAGAAGGACCCAGAAGACCCGAACUUUCUGGUUUUGCCUUUCACCUUGCUCUGAAACUUCUCCCAACACUGGAAGACAAGAAAGUUCCGCCCUACCUCCGCCCCACCUCCGCCCCCUGGACCAGGGAGAUUCUUCUCUUUGGGCAAGCAGGCUUGCUGGGCAAUCGUGAGCUGC
ensembl:lincRNA E130006D01Rik RIKEN cDNA E130006D01 gene